rnacentral:rRNA from 1 species
CCUACGGGGGGCAGCAGUGAGGAAUAUUGGUCAAUGGACGAGAGUCUGAACCAGCCAAGUAGCGUGAAGGAUGACUGCCCUAUGGGUUGUAAACUUCUUUUAUAUGGGAAUAAAAUGUUCCACGUGUGGGAUUUUGUAUGUACCAUAUGAAUAAGGAUCGGCUAACUCCGUGCCAGCAGCCGCGGUAAUACGGAGGAUCCGAGUGUUAUCCGGAUUUAUUGGGUUUAAAGGGAGCGUAGGUGGAUUGUUAAGUCAGUUGUGAAAGUUUGCGGCUCAACCGUAAAAUUGCAGUUGAAACUGGCAGUCUUGAGUACAGUAGAGGUGGGCGGAAGUCGUGGUGUAGCGGUGAAAUGCUUAGAUAUCACGAAGAACUCCGAUUGCGAAGGCAGUUCACUGGACUGCAACUGACACUGAGGCUCGAAAGUGUGGGUAUCAAACAGGAUUAGAUACCCCUGUAGUC